UCGGGGGCGCUGGUGUCACUUUCCAGCCGCUCGGGGACCUCGGCCUCUGGCUCCUGAGGCCCCAUCGCCGCCUUCCCAGGGCAAGAGAUGUUGUGGAGUGAAGAGACGAAGGAUUGCUGUCUUAGAAAAACUCCUUUGAACUGAGGAAAGACUGUGAAGAAGCUGCAUACAUGUCUUAGAUCUCUGAGAAGACCACAAUCCAACAAUGAAUUCUACUCAACUUCCCAGGAUAACUUCUUGAUGCAAAGGAAGAGCCUUUGCUGAUUCAAAUGAGAUUCCAAAUGUUUCUUCCCUCUCCAAGUAUCCUUAUACUCAGUGAAAUCAAGGAAGGAUUCACUUUCAGACUAUGGUCUUAUAAUCUAGUGAGCAGAAAUUAUAAGGCCUUUACAAGGCAUUACAAGGCAAGCAGAAAGAGAAAAAGGAAUAAAUCUCUAAGAAUGAGAUUCUAAAUACUUUGUCUUGUAUCAAAUUAACUACCUUGAGUAUUUGUACCAAGAAUCAUCCAAAUACAUCUGAAGAAAAAUGAAGUUGUUUUCAUUUCAAAGAGGUUU